CGGGGCUGGCGGGUGGAGCGGGGGUGGAGGGCCGGCUGACAGCUGGUCCGGAUCGCGGCGGCGCCGGGAGGGUAGGAGGGAAGCUGGUGAGCCCGCAAACCGCAGCCUGAGCCCUGGCCCGGCCCGCCUGGCCCCCGCACCGCCAUGCCCUUGGCUUUCUGCGGCAGCGAGAACGACUCGGCCGCCUACAAGGUGGACCAGGGCGUUCUGAACAACGGCUGCUUCGUGGAUGCGCUCAACGUGGUCCCGCACGUCUUCCUUUUCUUCAUCACUUUCCCCAUCCUCUUCAUCGGAUGGGGCAGCCAGAGUGCAAAAGUUCACAUCCAUCAUAGCACGUGGCUUCACUUCCCUGGCCACAACCUUCGCUGGAUCCUCACCUUCAUGCUGCUCUUUGUCCUGGUGUGUGAGAUUGCAGAGGGUGUCCUCUCCGAUGGGGUGGCUGACUCUCGUCAUCUGCACCUGUACAUGCCCGCCGGGAUGGCGUUUCUGGCAGCUAUCACCUCUGUCGUCUACUAUCACAACAUUGAGACCUCCAACUUUCCCAAGCUGCUGAUUGCCUUGUUGAUUUACUGGACUCUGGCCUUCAUAACCAAGACAAUCAAGUUUGUCAAGUUCUAUGACAAUGCAAUUGGGUUUUCUCAGCUCCGCUUCUGCCUUACCGGGCUUCUGGUCAUCCUCUAUGGAACGCUGCUGACUGUGGAAAUCAAUGUCAUCAGAGUGAGGAGAUAUGUGUUCUUCAAGACUCCCAAGGAGGUGAAGCCACCAGAGGACCUGCAGGAUCUGGGUGUACGCUUCCUGCAGCCCUUUGUGAACCUGCUGUCCAAGGGGACCUACUGGUGGAUGAAUGCCUUCAUCAAGACAGCCCAUAAGAAACCCAUUGAUCUGAAGGCCAUCGGGAAGCUGCCCAUUGCCAUGAGGGCCCAAACUAACUACCUGCACCUCCGGGAGGCCUUUGAAGCCCAGAAGGGGAAGGGCUCCAGAUAUUCCCAGGGCUCCCGGGCCAUCUGGUGCGCUCUCUCACAUGCCUUUGGGAGAAGGCUGGUCCUCAGCAGCACAUUCCGGAUCUUGGCUGAUUUCCUAGGAUUUGCAGGGCCACUGUGCAUUUUUGGAAUUGUCAACCACCUUGGGAAAGAAAAUGGAGUCUUCCAGCCAAAGACUAAGUUCCUUGGUGUUUACUUUGUCUCAUCUGAAGAGUUCCUUGCCAACGCCUACGUGUUGGCUGUGCUAUUGUUCCUUGCCCUCCUGCUACAGAGGACGUUUCUGCAAGCAUCCUACUAUGUCGCCAUUGAAACUGGAAUCAACCUAAGAGGAGCAAUACAGACCAAGAUUUAUAACAAAAUCAUGCAUCUUUCCACAUCCAACCUGUCCAUGGGAGAAAUGACUGCCGGACAAAUCUGUAAUCUGGUCGCCAUUGACACCAACCAGCUCAUGUGGUUCUUCUUCUUGUGCCCAAACCUCUGGGCAAUGCCUGCACAGAUCAUUGUGGGGGUGAUUCUUCUCUACUACCUCCUUGGGGUCAGCGCCUUAAUUGGAGCAGCAGUCAUCAUUGUCUUGGCUCCUAUUCAGUACUUUGUGGCUACCAAGCUCUCCCAAGCCCAGAGGAGCACAUUGGAAUAUUCCAAUGAGAGGCUGAAAAAGACCAAUGAAAUGCUCCGGGGGAUCAAACUUCUCAAACUCUAUGCCUGGGAAAACAUCUUCCGUGCUCAGGUGGAGAUGACUCGGAGGAAGGAGAUGACCAGCCUCAAGGCCUUCGCCAUCUACACCUCCAUCUCUAUUUUUAUGAACACGGCAAUCCCUAUCGCAGCUGUCCUGAUUACAUUCGUGAGCCAUGUCAGCUUCUUCAAAGGGGCCAACUUCUCUCCAUCGGUGGCUUUUGCAUCUCUCUCCCUCUUCCACAUCCUGGUCACACCCCUGUUCCUGCUGUCCAGUGUGGUCCGGUCAACCGUCAAAGCCCUGGUCAGCGUCCAGAAGUUGAGCGAGUUCUUGUCCAGUGAAGAGAUUGGGAAGGAUCAGUACUCCCAGCAUGAGCUCCCUUAUAAGGGCCAGAGCAGCAAAUCUCAGGCAGUGCCACUCAAGGUUGUGAACCGUAAGCGGCCUUCCAGGGAUGACUGUAGGAACUUCAUGGGGCACCUGCAGAAACUGGGCCCCGAUGAAGAGCCAGACGACAGCUGUGUACGGAUCACAGGGGGAUUCUUCACCUGGACAUCUGAUGGAGUCCCCACACUCUCCAAUAUUACCAUCCGCAUUCCACAAGGGCAGCUGACCAUGAUUGUGGGCCAGGUGGGCUGCGGGAAGUCUUCACUGCUGCUAGCCACCCUAGGGGAGAUGCAGAAGAUUUCAGGGGAAAUCUCCUGGAACAGCCUCCCAGACAGUGAGACCGGCGAGGACUCCAGCCCAGAGAGGGAAACAAAUACUGGCCCGGAUAUCAGAAAGAGGGGUCCAGUGGCCUAUGCCUCCCAGAAGCCAUGGUUGCUUAAUGCCACAGUGGAGGAGAACAUUACAUUUGAAAGCCCCUUCAACAAACAACGGUAUAAAGCUGUCAUUGAUGCCUGUUCUCUCCAGCCUGACAUCGAUAUCCUGCCCCAUGGAGACCAGACCCAGAUUGGGGAACGGGGCAUUAACCUGUCGGGAGGUCAGCGUCAACGUAUCAGUGUGGCCCGGGCACUGUACCAGCACACCAAUGUUGUGUUCUUGGACGAUCCGUUCUCAGCCCUGGACAUCCACCUGAGUGACCACUUAAUGCAGGCUGGAAUUCUUGAGUUGCUCCGGGAGGACAAGAGGACUGUGGUCCUAGUAACCCACAAGCUGCAGUACCUGCCCCAUGCAGACUGGAUCAUUGCUAUGAAAGAUGGUACCAUCCAGCGGGAAGGGACACUCAAGGAUAUCCAGAUGUCUGAGUCUCAGCUAUUUGAGCAGUGGAAGACACUCAUGAACCGACAAGGCCAAGAGCUGGAGAAGGAGACUGUGGUCAUUGAGAGAAAGAACAUGGAGGUACCAAAGGGUCUGCCCAGGGCCAUGUCCUCCCGGGACGGGCUCCUGCUGGAUGAGGAAGAGGAGGAAGAGCCAUCCAAACGUGACGUGACGGUAAGAUCAUCCCUACCACUCACAGAGGACAUGGCAGAAAGUGAAGAAGAAGACAACUUGUCAUCGCUGCUGCGCCAACGAGCCAAGAUACCAUGGCAAGCCUGUGCCAAGUACCUGUCCACCGCUGGCGUACUGCUUCUGCCCCUGCUGUUCUUCUCCCAGUUGCUCAAGCAUAUCGUGCUGGUUGCCAUAGACUACUGCCUGGCCAACUGGACAGAUAGUGCCCUGGCCCUGGGCCCAGCUACAAGGAACUGCUCUCUCAGUGAGGACUGCUCCUUCGACCACAGGGUCUAUGCCAUGGUAUUCACAGCUCUGUGCAGUCUGGGAAUCGUGCUGUGCCUGAUCACAUCUGUCACUGUGGAGUGGACAGGCCUGAAAGUAGCCAAGAGGCUGCAUCGCAGUCUGCUGAACCAGAUCAUUCUGGCCCCCAUGAGGUUUUUUGAGACAACUCCACUUGGAAGCAUCCUGAACAGAUUUUCAUCUGACUGUAACACAAUUGACCAGCACAUCCCUUCCACGUUGGAGUGCCUGAGUCGCUCCACGAUGCUCUGUGUCUCUGCGCUAGCCGUCAUCUCCUACGUCACCCCUGUGUUCCUCAUUGCCCUCCUGCCUCUGGCCAUCGUGUGCUACUUCAUCCAGAAGUACUUCCGGGUGGCAUCCAGGGACCUGCAGCAGUUGGACGACAGCACCCAGCUACCCCUGCUCUCCCACUUCUCAGAGACGAUGGAAGGUCUCACCACCAUCAGAGCAUUCAGGUAUGAGGCCUUGUUCCAACAGAAGCUUCUCAAGUACACUGAUUCCAACAACAUUGCCUCACUCUUCCUCACGGCUGCCAACCGAUGGCUGGAAGUCCGAAUGGAAUACAUUGGUGCCUGUGUGGUCCUCAUAGCUGCUGUGGCUUCCAUCACCAAAUCCCUGCACAAGGAGCUGCCUGCAGGGCUGGUGGGGCUGGGCAUCACCUAUGCCCUAAUGGUGUCCAACUACCUAAACUGGAUGGUGAGGAACCUGGCAGACAUGGAGAUUCAGAUGGGGGCUGUUAAAAGAAUCCAUGGGCUUCUGAAGACUGAAUCAGAGAAUUAUGAGGGACUUCUGGCUCCAUCCCUGAUACCAAAGAACUGGCCAGUCCAAGGGAAGAUCCAGAUACAAAACCUGAGUGUCCGCUAUGAUAGCUCCCUGAAGCCAGUCCUGAAUCAUGUCAAUGCCCACAUCUCCCCAGGGCAGAAGAUUGGGAUCUGUGGCCGAACAGGCAGUGGAAAGUCAUCCUUCUCUCUUGCCUUCUUCCGCAUGGUUGACAUGUUUGAAGGGAGGAUCGUCAUCGAUGGUAUCGACAUUUCAAAGCUGCCUCUGCAAACCUUGCGAUCCCGACUCUCCAUCAUCCUCCAGGACCCCAUCCUCUUCAGUGGCACCAUUCGAUUUAACCUGGACCCGGAAAAGAAGUGCUCAGACAGUACCCUGUGGGAAGCCCUGGAGAUCGCCCAGCUAAAGCUGGUGGUGAAGGCACUGCCUGGGGGGCUAGAUGCCAUAGUCACGGAAGGUGGGGAGAAUUUCAGCCAGGGCCAGAGGCAGCUCUUCUGCUUGGCAAGGGCCUUUGUGAGGAAGACGAGCAUCUUCAUCAUGGAUGAGGCCACAGCCUCCAUCGACAUGGCCACGAUGAAUCUGUAGAAGCGGAAAGCAAUCAUCAGAUUUGACAAGUCUCAAGAUUUUUCUGUGACAUCCCAGAUACGUACGCUCAGAAAAAUCAGUGUAUUCCUGGAUUGUUCAUGUCAAAUUGAUACAUGAGCGCCUCAAUACGCCUUAUUAGCACUCAUCCUUUAUUCCUGUGGUCCUAACCUUCACCAUCUCCUGGAGAUGCCUGUGGUUCAUCACCAUUCCAUGGAGCAUGAGAAGUGGCUUCUUCCUCAGAAUCCAGUUCUACCCUCUACAGAAAAAGCCUCAAGCCUAUUGAUUGUCUCCAAAGGAGAACAUCUUACAGAAGGUGGUGAUGACAGCCUUUGCUGACCGCACCGUGGUUACCAUAGCGCACCGAGUGCACACCAUCC